rnacentral:rRNA from 1 species
GACGAACGCUGGCGGCGUGCUUGACACAUGCAAGUCGAACGGAAAGGCCUGCUUUCCCUUGUGGAUUGCGGGUACUCGCGUGGCGAACGGGUGAGUAACACGUGAGUGAUCUGCCCCCAACUUGGGUAUAAGCCUGGGAAACUGGGUCUAAUUCCCGAUAGGACUGCAGGGUGGUGCCUGUGGUGGAAAACGAUUUUCUAGUGGUUGGGGAUGAGCUCGCGGCCUAUCAGCUUGUUGGUGGGGUAAUGGCCUACCAAGGCGGCGACGGGUAGCCGGCCUGAGAGGGUGGACGGCCACAUUGGGACUGAGAUACGGCCCAGACUCCUACGGGAGGCAGCAGUGGGGAAUAUUGCACAAUGGGCGGAAGCCUGAUGCAGCGACGCCGCGUGGGGGAUGACGGCCUUCGGGUUGUAAACUCCUUUCGACCGCGAGGAAGCCACCUGGUUGGAAGGGUGGUGACGGUAGUGGUAGAAGAAGCACCGGCUAACUACGUG